GAGUGCGGCCCCUGGGAGCGUGUGUGUGUGUGUGUGUGUGUGUGUGUGUUGUAUGUGUGACUGGGGGGAGGGGUGCUCUCUGCUAACUCAAACCAGAUUCCUUGUUUCGCGAUGAGACACUGCAGCCUGCGCUUUGGAAGUUUUCUUUUUCUCCCUGGGAGAAUGGAGGGGAAAUACAAUGCUUUUUCUUUUCUUGCUGUCACCCCCUUGCAAUCUGAGCGGCUCCCACGGUCCUCGGCUGCGUCCCCAUUGCCUAUUCUUGGCCCCUCUCUCUGAGCAGUUGAACCGGAAAGCGUCUCUGAGCUGCGUAAAGCCCCCUGCUCUUUCUUCUCUAGAGGGCUGAGGGUGCUAGACGGGGAAUCGUCCUCUCCCUGCCCCCCAGCGGCCACCGGGACCCCCAAGCCAGCCAGCCAGCGUAAACAGCAAGGGGCCGGCUACAGGAGGGCCUCCAGCAACGCAACUUGGUUGCACCGUCUGGGUUUCUAAUAACUCCCCACCCCCUCCGCCCCCUUUCUGAGGCCGGGGUGGAGGAGGGGACCACCGGCCCGGUGGACUGAAUUUUAAGAGAACAAAGAACAGGGCACAAAGGAAGGGGGAAGCGGAGCUGUGGAUUUCCCCCCAGAAACGGGGAGUUUGCUGGACCCGGGCUGGGCUCAGCCGAGCCUCUAGGUGGCCCUAGGGCUGUGAAGCAGUAAUGGGGCACCCAUUCCUGACCUGGAAGGCUCCAUCCUGGGGUGGGGGGAGUGGCUAGGACCCGGUGUAGGUGUGGGGUGCCAUGUGGGUUCCAGCUUUCAUCAGCUGCCCUGUGAGCUGUUCAUGUGACUGCCCAAUUAGUGUGGUUUAUCUCCUGUGAACUUGGACUUUGCCCCUGGGCUCCUUGGGGACAGCUGCCCCUUCCCACAGACAGGGGUUUAGUGAACCUGGGUAGAUACUUGAGCGGGUUCUGGUCUUCCCAGGGGUCCUGGUGACCCCUGCAGGGACUGGGAGGGGGCUGGUGUGAUAAAACGAAUCCACUCCCAGAGGCGGUGGUCUGGGGUCUCUGACCCUCUGCCCUCUCCCUGAGUUCCUGGAGUCGCCGCUCAUUGGUGACCUCCCUAGCUCAGGCCUCCGCUUGGAGUGUUCUUCCAUUUUUCUGGGACUUCCACCUUCCUCUUUCUUGACACCUCUUCCACUGCUUCCUUCCUCCCACUCCAAGCUGACAUAUCUCCGCAUCCACGAUGGUCCAGCCCUCACGGGACUGGAGACCCGGGAGCCCCAAGCCUGUGAGCGUCUAAGAGUGGGGCUGUGGGGCUGGGCAGAUGCCAACCUGGGAGAGGGAUCUAGACCCUUCUUUAACACCAGUCAGGAGCUUUCCCAGAAGAGCCUCCAGUUGGCUCUGGUUCAGGGAUCCUAACCGCCUCCACCUUUGGAGCGGCUGAUUGAUUUCUGCUUCAGGGAACAGGCUGUGCCCAGGUGUGGCAGGCAAGGUGUUUGAAGGGCCGCCUCUCGCUGCCCUGCCCCCGCUCUGAUUUGGAAGGUGGGAGUGGAGGGCUCAGAGGCCAGAACAGCCUGAAUUGCUGCAGUGACUCCAACCUCCUGUGGCUGGAGGUUCUGCAGGCUCAGGAUCUUGUCCUUGUGUGGGGGAGGGAGGAGUCUGUCCCUUGGAGGAAUGGGAUCUGGGUUGAUGCCAGAGAUAAGGCUUGGGGGCGGAGGCAGAGCAUUGAGCAAUCUGGCCCUAGAAGCUUCGGGCUGACCCAAGCCUCGGUGCUGGAGGCUUUCACUCAACCUUGGGAGAGGGAACCAAACACGACCCAGCUGGCAGUGUGUCCUGAAAGCCAGCCCCAGCCAGCCCCUCUGGGCAGGGAACUGGGUGGGGGGGAGUCAUGCUGGGAGGGACUCGUGAGCGGGAUUGGCUCAUGGCUCACAGGGGGUUGGGAAGGAAGUUUAGCCGUGAGAGUCCCGGUCCCCGCUCACUGUGUCCCUGGAGAUCUAGCAUAAAGUACAAGGAGCCUUGGGCUGCCUUCCAGUAAUGUGCAUCAGAGUCUCCCUCGGCCACUGCCAGCCCGUCGCUCGGGGCUCCAGGCCAGGGUCGCUUCGCUGACAUCCAGCACCUUCCUUUGCCUGGAAUGGGGGCGCUGGUGAUCUCCACUCAGCCUCCCAAGCUGCGAAAGGGUCUCCCUUUGGGACCAGACAAGGGUAUUUGGGGAUUUUGUUCAUGAAUGAAAGCUUACAUUUCUUACCCAACCCAUAGUACCCGCUGGCCUUUCUCUCUUCAUCACAGGGGCAGAGGGCAUCCGCAGAGCCAUAGUGCCAGGGCACAAAAGUGCCUGUGGCUGUGUUCAGGGACACCCAGGGCUUCUCCAUCAUCUUCUGUCCCAACCAUCAGAGGUGGCAGAUGGUGUCAGCCAGGGCCACUUCCAGCCUCCCUGGGAGCAUCUCUGGAUUCUUAUGCCUGCAUCCAGGCUGUUCUUGGGGUAACUGAACGUGGUCUGCAGACCCCAGCUUCGGGCUCCCCAGUGAAGCCAAGCCCUGUGUCCUGGAGUCGGUUCUCUGCCCCCCCUCUCCGCACCCAGGUUCCCACUCUGCAUCCCUUCUCCGCUCCCCAGAAUGUUGCCCUUGGCCCCAAGGCAUCAAAGGAGCCCCUGUGUUCCCUCUGCCCUUGGAGUUUAAGGCUCCAUCAAAUGGGGUGCAGGGGAAGGAAGGAGCUGAGAGGGAGGGCACACAAGAGCCUCAGGCAGGCAGUAUGAUUUGCAGACACCUCUGAUGAGAAUCAGGUUAGGUCCAAAGGACCAGGCUUGUUUUACUGUGGGUCGAUCACGUUGAGAUUUUGUGCAAGUAUUUGUUGUUGGAAGUGUCCGGGGGCCCCCCGAUUCCUAAGUUCUCUAACCUUCAUUCUAAGGAGGACCGGGAGGUCUCUCUCUCUCCCCACCUCCGCUUCGUCCACUCGCUUACUGACCUGAAAUCAGAGAGAGCUGAAGUCCUGUCUGAGAAAAGUCAGGCUCCCUGUCUUGUGUCCUUAAAGGUGAAAAGGUCAAGAAGGGAGAAGCAAAAGACCUGCUUGGUCCCCCAGCUGGUCUGGGCCAUGAUUUAUAACUGGCCUUCAGAAGCCAGGAGACAUCGAACUUCGAAAAGCUGUUGGCUUGGGACCCUUGUGGAUUUGGUGUCUCCGGUGACACUAAAGGCUAAGAAUGUGUUCUCUUUGAACUUGGGGAGUGACAGGACAGUGGCCAGAGUGUCGCUGGGGAUUCUGGAGUCUUACCUUUUAAGGUGACCUAGGGCACCUGCUAGGAAAGAACAAGUUACAACAUCAUCUUCACAGCAAACACGCGGAGCGCUUACCCCUUAGGCUGUGCGAGGGCUUGACCUAUAUUAGCUUGUCGACUCCUCACCAUCGUGCUAGGAAGUGCGUGGUGUUAUCAAUCGCUCUGAAAAGUGAUGAGGAAACGGGCACAGGUAGCUUGCCCCAGGCGGCUGAGGGUGGCUGAGCCAGCUCGUAACCAUAACCCGGGAGGCUGGUUCCCGGGCCCCCCAGGCUGCAGGCUCCGUCCAGCAGGGCCAAGAUGAAGAUUCGCCAACCUGCUCUAGAGCAGGACCAGGCCCACCCACCUCUCUCUGCAGACCCAGGCGUGCCCUUUGACUCGCCCUCCUCAGCUGAGCACCCUGCGCUCAGAAGAGGCAGAUUGAAACCAAACAAGGUCAGAUCGAUCUGAUUUCAAGUUCAGCCACUUCCUUCUGAGGCCCUGGGCCGGUGGGGGCAGCGAUGGAGCCCCCAGCAGGCACCCCUUCCCUUCUUUGUGCGCUUCCUUCUGUGAUGGGAGCUGGGUGGCUGGGAAACACACACACACACGCACGCACGCACGCACAGCAAACACAUGCACGAUCUCCAGGAAGAGCUCUGUGAACAAGCAAAGUUGCCCAGUGCUCUGGAGCCGCUGGCUCCUCAAGUCUUAGCUCCGGAGCUGUCGCUUCCUGUCACUCCCAGGUCAUGGCUCCCUCCUUUCCCUUCCUGAGCCACUGUAACUCCCAAGUAGUGAGAGGGCUUUCUCCCUCCCCCUCCUAUGCCUUUAAGACAUCUCUCCGCGGCUUCCCUUCCCCGGGUCCCAAGCUCAGGCUCCGGUGAUGAAGAGGGAGGUGGGCACAGCGACAGAGAUGGAGCAGCAGAGUGGCCAGGGUGAGCCUGACCCCCUCCCGGCCCAGGAGGAGCGGGUUCCCAUCGGGAUGGACUUCCAGGCAGUGAGCAUUUCCCAGGAUUUGUCUGUACUUUGCCUAGAGUGGUGGGGAACAGGGAGCCCAGACUAGACAUAUUUUACCCUAAAAUUCUACGCACAAGUGUUUGUCCUGUGGGUGUUUAUAUGCAUCCAUAACCUUCAUCAGAUCUCAGAGUCCUGCGCCCCAGCAAUGCCUAUGACCCUCUCCUGACACACCUGGACUGCAAAGUAAGCGCCCAGGGUUCAGGCUCGGGCAGACUUCAAAAGCUAUGUCCUUGGCCGCUGUGUGAAGAACUGGGUGAAGCAUUUAGCUGUAAGCCUCCAUUUUCUUAUCUGCAAGGUGGGGGAUGAUGGUAAUUCCCUGGGAUUGUUGUUGAAAAGUACAUGUGAGACGAUCUGUCAGAUGCCUAGGACGGUGCUAGUACUUGGGAGAGGAAAGAAGCAGUUCCAUCAAACAAAGCAGAGAGCCUGGUGCAGAGGAAAGACUCAAAAAUGUUCAUUCCCUUUGUCAUAUUACCUUUCAAAACUACGGACUGGUGAAAUUCAUUGAAUAAGCCAGUGUAUCCACAAUAUUGCCAUGUUGCCAUGCAUUCAAAAAAAUAUUUUGCGCUUUUUCAUACAAGGUCUUCAAAAUCCAGCGUGUGUUUUACGUCUGUAGCGCAUCUCAGUUUGGACGCCACAUUUCAUAAAUAUUCUAUCAGAACCUGGAGUUCCUAAAAUGUACAGCUGAAAAAGUAGAUCCACACUCUCCAGGUGUUUGAAACAUAUACUUAAGUUCAGAUAACUGAAUCAAGCAUUGAUUUUUUUAAUUUGAAAUAGUACAGGAGCUCCCUGGUGUCUUAGCAGUUAAGGAUCCAGUGUUGUCACUGCUGUGGCUUGGGUUCAGUCCAUGGCCUGAGAACUUCUGCAUGCCGUGGGCACAGCCAAAAGAAUAUUAAAAGGAAAAAAAAUUUUUAAUUCAGGGAGUUCCCAUUGUUGUUCAGCAGAAAUGAAUCUGAGUAGCAUCCAUGAGGACGUGGGUUUGAUCCCUGGCCUCGCUCAGUGGGUUAAGGAUCUGGCCUUGCCAUGAGCUGUGGUGUAGGUCGCAACCACAGCUCAGAUCUGGUGUUGCUGUGGCUCUGGCAUAGGCCAGCAGCUAUAGCUCCGAUUCGACAACUAGCCUGGGAAUUUUCAUAUGCCAUGGGUGUGGGCCUAAAAAGACAAAAAAAAAAAAAAAAAAAAAAAAAAAAAAA
ensembl:lncRNA